GAGCUUUACUUAAAAGGGCACAGCACUCCUAAACUUUACUCAAGAGGCUGCAGCAGUCCUAAUCUCUACUCCGGAGGCCAUAGCAGUGAUCACUUUUACCCAAGAGGACACAACAGCCAAAAGCUCCACACAAGUCAGCACCAUGGAACUAAUAAGUCAUCUUCAAGGCAUAACAGCAAUGAGAUCCACACAUCAAGCACUGAGGUGGCUAGACCAAGUCAUGUUGGCAGUAAAAUUCAUAGAUCAAGCCAUGUUAGCACUAAGAUUCACGGACAAAGCCACUCUGCACCUUCUACAGUCACAUCAAAGCACACUGAGCCACCCCAGACCAGAGAGCAGACAUCAAAUCUGCAAACAUCCCUUCUGCGUAAUAUAUUAACAAAGCAGGAAAUGAUGAUGGACCAACUUUGAAUCAACUUUAAGAUGCUGCAGAGUAUGAAACCAACUGAAGAGGCAGAGGCAGUCCUGGAUCGAAACUUGCUGCCAAUAAAAGAUGUUGGUUCUCUGGAAGACAUUGAGGAACAACUACGUAGUAAUCCUGACCUCCAGAAACAGUUGGUAAACAAAUUGGCUCUCAAAGGUGGGGUGGACCUUCAUGAGUGCAUAU